GACGAACCGUACGAACGUUAUUCGGAAUUACUGGGCGUAAAGGGCGCGUAGGCGGCCCGCUAAGUCGAACGUGAAAUCCCCAGGCUCAACCUGGGAACUGCGUCCGAUACUGGCAGGCUUGAAUCCGGGAGAGGGAUGUGGAAUUCCAGGUGUAGCGGUGAAAUACGUAGAUAUCUGGAGGAACACCCGUGGCGAAGGCGGCUCUCUGGUACGUGACUGACGCUGAGACGCGAAAGCGUGGGGAGCAAACAGG
rnacentral:rRNA from 1 species